rnacentral:rRNA from 1 species
UGGGGAAUCUUGCGCAAUGGGCGAAAGCCUGACGCAGCGACGCCGCGUGAGUGAUGAAGGCCCUAGGGUUGUAAAGCUCUGUGGGGAGGGACGAAUAAGGUGCAGCUAACAUCUGCAUUGAUGACGGUACCUCCUUAGCAAGCACCGGCUAACUCUGUGCCAGCAGCCGCGGUAAGACAGAGGGUGCGAACGUUGUUCGGAAUUACUGGGCGUAAAGCGCGUGUAGGCGGCCACGCAAGUCGGGUGUGAAAUCCCGGGGCUCAACCCCGGAAGUGCACUCGAAACUGCAUGGCUGGAGUCUCGGAGAGGAAGGCGGAAUUCUAGGUGUAGAGGUGAAAUUCGUAGAUAUCUAGAGGAACACCGGUGGCGAAGGCGGCCUUCUGGACGAGCACUGACGCUGAGACGCGAAAGCGUGGGGAGCAAACAGG